GGGAAACUUUAUUGCUGAUGCCACCCGCCGCGAAGUUGAAAUAAAAAACCCGAUGCGCAGAUCAUCGGGUUCAUUUCA
rnacentral:sRNA from 1 species